GAUGAACGCUGGCGGCGUGCUUAACACAUGCAAGUCGAACGGAAAGUCCCAAUCUUGCUUGGGUACUCGAGUGGCGAACGGGUGAGUAACACGUGGGUGAGCUGCCCUGCACUUCGGUUUAAGCCUGGGAAACUGGGUCUAAUACCGGAUAAGACCUCAUUUUGGUGGGUGUGGUGGAGAGUUUUUCGGUUUGGGGUGAGCUCGCGGCCUAUCAGCUUGUUGGUGGGGUAAUGGCCUUCCAAGGCGAAGGCGGGUAUCCGGACUGAGAGGGUGCACGGCCACAUUGGGACUGAGACAGGGCCCAGACCCCUACGGGAGGGAGAAGUGGGGAAGGUGGAUAAAGGGGAGCGAGCCUGAUGCAGCGACGCCGAGUGGGGGAUGACGGUCUUCGGGUUGUAAUCGCAAUGCGCUAGGGCCGAAGCGUUUUUGUGACGGAACCUGGAGAAGAAGCACGGGCUAAUUACGG
rnacentral:rRNA from 1 species